rnacentral:rRNA from 1 species
UGUAAACGAUGUCGAUUGGAGUUUGUUGCCUAGAGUGAUGGGCUCCGAAGCUAACGCGAUAAAUCGACCGCUGGGGGGUACGGCCGCAAGGUUAAAACUCAAAUGAAUUGACGGGGGCCCGCACAAGCGGUGGAGCAUGUGGUUUAAUUCGAUGCAACGCGAAGGACCUUACCUGGUCUUGACAUCCAUAGAAUUCUGCAGAGAUGUGGGAGUGCCUUCGGGAACUAUGAGACAGGUGCUGCAUGGCUGUCGUCAGCUCGUGUUGUGAAAUGUUGGGUUAAGUCCCGCAACGAGCGCAACCCUUAUUCUUUGUUGCCAGCGAUUUGGUCGGGAACUCAAAGGAGACUGCCGUUGAUAAAGCGGAGGAAGGUGGGGACGACGUCAAGUCAUCAUGGCCCUUACGACCAGGGCUACACACGUGCUACAAUGGCGUAUACAAAGGGAAGCGAAGGUGCGAGCUGGAGCGGAUCUCAUAAAGUACGUCUAAGUUCGGAUUGGAGUCUGCAACUCGACUCCAUGAAGUCGGAAUCGCUAGUAAUCGUAGAUCAGAAUGCUACGGUGAAUACGUUCCCGGGCCUUGUACACACCGCCCGUCACACCAUGGGAGUGGGUUGCACCAGAAGUAGAUAGCUUAACCGCGAGGGGGGCGUUUACCACGGUGUGAUUCAUGACUGGGGUGAAGUCGUAACAAGGUAACCA